rnacentral:rRNA from 1 species
UACGUAGGGUGCAAGCGUUAUCCGGAAUUAUUGGGCGUAAAGAGCUCGUAGGCGGUGUGUCGCGUCGAUCGUGAAAACUUGGGGCUUAACCCUGAGCUUGCGGUCGAUACGGGCAUCACUUGAGUUCGGCAGGGGAGACUGGAAUUCCUGGUGUAGCGGUGAAAUGCGCAGAUAUCAGGAGGAACACCGGUGGCGAAGGCGGGUCUCUGGGCCGAUACUGACGCUGAGGAGCGAAAGCGUGGGGAGCGAACAGG